rnacentral:tRNA from 1 species
GAGAAAUCGCCAAAGGUGUUGGUAUGAAAAAAAAAAAAGAAAUCAUGGAAAAAGCACUGAAAUUGGAUAUAAAAAUAUCAA